CAGCAGCCGCGGGAAUACGUAGGGUGCAAGCGUUAAUCGGAAUUACUGGGCGUAAAGCGUGCGUAGGUGGUUGUUUAAGUCUGCUGUGAAAGCCCUGGGCUCAACCUGGGAAUUGCAGUGGAUACUGGGCGACUAGAGUAAGGUAGAGGAUAGUGGAAUUUCCGGUGUAGCAGUGAAAUGCGUAGAGAUCGGAAGGAACAUCUGUGGCGAAGGCGACUAUCUGGGCCAUUACUGACACUGAGGCACGAAAGCGUGGGGAGCAAACAGGAUUAGAUACCCGUGUAGUCCCUGUCUCUUAUAC
rnacentral:rRNA from 1 species